GCAAUGUUGAGCAUGUAUCCGUGCUCUCAUGAACCCUCAUACUGGUGCCAGGGAGUGAUACUGAUCAAACUAUUCAAACACUAGUAGAUAUGUUACUGAAAGUACACAUGUGGAACUGUUAUAAGUAUAUUAAUAUAUUCAUAUAUAAAUAAUUUUAAAAAAUACUGUGAAGGAAGAGAAUGAGGUACAAAGAUGAUGUAUAUAAGAAAUCAGCCUAGGAAAGAAUACUUAAAUUGACACCCGCAGGGUGACAUAGGGAUAGCAGUGACUGCCUUGCUCAGUCAGGGAAGUGUUUGUGCACAAGUAUAGUCUAUGCCAGAGGGUCUAAAAGUUUAAGGAGUGGCUGGUGGGCAGAGACAAAAGGAAGAUCUCAUUGAGAGUCAGACAGGGCAGUACUACUAGGCCAUUUGGGGAUUAUGACCUUUGUUUUAAGAAGAAUUAGAACCUGUUAAAGAAUUUUAAGAUGAAACAGGGACUGGACAGGAAAAGCACUAAUAUCAUGUGACCAAAUAUGCAUAUUGGAACUAUUACUUGUUUGUGGUGUGAAGAAAAGGCUGGAGAAAAUAAAUGCACAUGAGGAGGCCAGCCAGGUGGCCAGCCAUUGGCUGGGGCCAGAGAUGACAGCAGCUGGGGCUGAAGUCAGUGGGUGCUGUAGAAAUUCAUGAAGUGUCCAAGGGGAAAAUCCACACAUGCAGAUGGAUUGACUAUGGCUACGGAUUCAUAGAAAUGCUGUUUCUCCUUAAUCCAUGGUUUGGACAAGUAGCCACGCUGAAACUAGAAAUUAGAAAACCGAUAUACUCUAGAGUAAAAAGUCCAGCUGACAGCCUAUUUUUGUUUUGUUUUGUUUUUUCUUAAAGUUUUAUUGGCACACAGACCCUCUUUUAUUGUCAGUAUUUUGCCUGUGGCUACCUUUGUGCUGUAACAGUGGACAUGAGUCGUUGCCAUGGAGGCUGUCUGACCCACAGAGCUGCAAGUGUUCACUACCCAUUUCAUUAUAGAUUAUAGAUUAUUUGAUUAUUUCCUUGACCUUUACACAGAGGCUUGCCAAUUCUGGUCUAGAAUCAUGAGGUACAGCUUAUUCUACAGCUCAGUGCUUGUUGUCAUCAGCAUAAGUAGGAGACCUUAAGAGGAUUAGAGAGGAGCACAGAUCCGCACUGAACUGAGAUGCUGGCUCAUGGUUUCCUUUUAUCUCCCUCAGCACACCUCCUGUGCCGUGAACUGCACUUCUGUGGUAACCGUGAUGCUUACCUUGAGUGGCAUUUUGCAGUACUCGCUGAGCUGUGGCACGUCAAAGACCAGACGCCGCAGGAGUUGCUGUAACAUGGAAGGUCUCAAGUGACUGCAGCAAAGAACACCCAAGGAGCUAUGGAGGCGAGACCAGGCCCUUCACUGGUAAAGGAGAUGCACGGGAGAAUUCAUGAAAGCACCUGGAGGAGAUGAAUACAGAAGACACAACCAGUGGCAUCAGGCAGCUUCCAUGUUGACAUUCUAAGCUGAGUGGCUGUAAUGGGGAAGUCUCUGCAUUAUUACUGAAGGUCUCCGUGAAUUUUAAAAGAAGACGGCGUUCUUAAUUCCUAAAAACUUGCCUUGUGAUAAAAGGAGCUGGGCUAACAAAGGCGAAUGAAAAUCCAUCCACAAAGAAACAGCCCUACCCGAAUGUAGUAACUAUGACUUAAAAUUGACUCGGUGUUUCUUACUACUGUUCAGUGAUUAGCAAUUGUUAUCCAAGACUAACAUGAAUAAAGGCCGGGGUCAACAAA